CUAAUACAUGCAAGUCGAGCGCAGGAAGCAGACUGAUCUCCUUCGGGAGUGAUGUUUGUGGAAUGAGCGGCGGACGGGUGAGUAACACGUGGGCAACCUGCCUGUAAGACCGGGAUAACUUGCGGAAACGUGAGCUAAUACCGGAUAAAGCUCCAUGCCGCAUGGCAUGGGGAUGAAAGACGGCUUAGCUGUCGCUUGCAGAUGGGCCCGCGGCGCAUUAGCUAGUUGGUGGGGUGAUGGCCUACCAAGGCGACGAUGCGUAGCCGACCUGAGAGGGUGACCGGCCACACUGGGACUGAGACACGGCCCAGACUCCUACGGGAGGCAGCAGUAGGGAAUCUUCCGCAAUGGACGCAAGUCUGACGGAGCAACGCCGCGUGAGCGAUGAAGGUCUUCGGAUCGUAAAGCUCUGUUGUCAGGGAAGAACACGUGUGAGAGUAACUGCUCACACCUUGACGGUACCUGACCAGAAAGCCACGGCUAACUACGUGCCAGCAGCCGCGGUAAUACGUAGGUGGCAAGCGUUGUCCGGAAUUAUUGGGCGUAAAGGGCUCGCAGGCGGUCCCUUAAGUCUGAUGUGAAAUCUUGCGGCUUAACCGCAAGCGGUCAUUGGAAACUGGGGGACUUGAGUACAGAAGAGGAGAGUGGAAUUCCACGUGUAGCGGUGAAAUGCGUAGAGAUGUGGAGGAACACCAGUGGCGAAGGCGG
rnacentral:rRNA from 1 species